GGGAAAAGUUCAAAACAUCACUGAAAAAAUGGAUGCCAUCCAUGACAUCUAUUUUUUAAGUGAAGUUGUCAAACUUUCUAUCAAUCUUCUUGUCCAUGACUUUAGUAUAUGACAGAAUUAUUGUAACAACUCUCAUCUAUUCCUUGGCACUCAUGCCAGUCAUGAAUUUAAUGACUUCUACCGAUGCCUCUUUAGGAAACUUCCCUACAAUCUUGUUUUGUGUUGCUGUUCUGUUUUAGGGGUGUAACUAAGAAGCUGUGCUUAUUUUUUUUAAUUAUUUAUUUAUUCUGUUUUAUGCUAUUGGACUUUAGUGCUCCGCAUAUUUUGGUUUUUGUGCGCACUUCAAGUGGAACAGCUUGCUAAUAAAAAAAAGUUUUCUCAUGCAUAGAGAACCAAAUGGUCACUUGAUUGAAGGUUUGUUGCUACUUUCAGGUUUAUCAGAAUGUUAAGAUGUAGAUUUAAUUUUAGGCUAGGGUUCAUUUUGUUUUCUUGUAAUGUUUAUGUGGUUUGUCAAUUUGUGUCUUGGCCAAUCAUGUUUUCUUCCUUUUGGACUAAAUGUUUAAUACAAGUGUUCUUUUCACCUUAGUUUUGUAAAAUGUUAUUAUUACCUUAUUGCCAAGAGGAAAAAAUCAUAAUAAUGAACUACUUACAAUUGCAAUGGGCACAGGUCAUCGUGCAACGCCCCAUAACUAGUGUAUACAUAUGUAGCAGGCCUACGAGUUGUACCUUUUUUGGAGUAGCCUAUGAGCUAUACCUCACCAUUGUAGAUGAUCUCUGCAAAUCUCCUCCCACACCUUUCCCCUCCCGUACAACUCACCACCCUCACUCUCUUUCCACUGCAAACCCCACCAUCACUCUUCGGCGACCCACUGUCGCGAUCCUUACACCGCAGCACCCUCAAUACUUCAGAGACCUCAUCUCCGACUGUCAAAGCUGUUGGUUAGGGUUUGGUUGUGAUUUCCACCUCGCAAGCCCGUCACACUUCGGCUCCAAGAGAGGAGAGUGAGAUUCAAAUAGAGAGAGAGAGGGGUCAACAGGGAGGGUAGCUAGGGAGUGACUGCCUAUUUGACCGUCGGACUUUAAAAUGGCCGGAGAAAAUGCCGGCCGAAGUUGUUGGGUUGGGGUCAAGGGUAAAAUUGUUUAAAAAAAAAAAACACUUUAAUUCAUUUUGAGUCAUAUCACCUCACAUUUUUUUAAAAAAAGUCAACUUUUAACUAUCUUCUCAAAACAUCUCUAAAGGUCACAAGUGUGGACUAUACAUCCAUGUGGGAUAUGUGGUCAGAUAUCCCUAACAGUAUCCAAAGUAAAAAAUGUAACCAUGCUCAAAAUAACACGUGUUAGGGGUAAAAGUGUUAUGUUGUGUCUAUGUAGGGUAAUAUAUACUAGUCUAUACAUAUAAGUUUGUCCCAUCAUUUCUUCUCUCGCUCUAGUCUUUUCAUCAUACACACUCAGUUGUAAUGGCUAAGAGAGCUUCUCUCGUCGUUGUAUUUUCCAUCAUCAAGCACCAUUUUAAAAGAGCUUCGAAUGAUGCAAAAAGCUUAGGGGUAUGAUUAUUUUUCAUUUCCUUUCGAUUUAUGUGAAUUUUUUGACUUUUUUUUUUUGCUUUUUCAUAUGAAGAUUGCGAUUAUUUCGAUAGAUAGAAGAUGAAGUUAAAAAAAAUUAUGUAUGGAGAGCAAUAUGAGUUUCUUCAUAAAAACAUUGAAAAAUGAUGAGCUGAAACUGGAUGAGGAGAAGGAUGAGAAGGAGACUGAUGGGAAGAAAAAGGAGGAGGAGCUUGUUGUUAAGGAGAAAUAUGAGAAGAGGAAGAACGAUGAAGAGGAGCUUGAUGAAAAGAAGAUGGUUGUGGAGGAGGAGAUGGAUGAAGAGGAGCUUGUUGAAAAGAAGAAGAAAGAUGAGUUCUAUUUGUCUUCAAUGAAAUCCCUCUCAAAGGUUAUGAUUAUUCAAGGCAUUGGGGACGUGACUUUGAAGAGUCUAGCCACCCUCCUUUCUGUUGCAAGGAAGUUUCCUAAAGAGUCACGGUAGAAGUCAUUAAAUUCAUGACUGGCAUAAGUGCCAAGGAAUAGAUGAGAAAUGUUACGUUAAUUUUGUCAUAUUUGAAGUUGUCAAACUUUCCAUCUAUUACAUCUAUUUUUUUAGUUAGGUUGUCAAACUUUCCAUCAAUCUUCUUGUCCAUGAUUUUAGUAUAUGACAGAAUUCUUGUAAUUGCCCUCAUGAUUUUAGUAUAUGCUAGUCAUGGAUUUAAUGACCUCUACCGAUGCCUCUUUAAGAGACUUUGCUGCAGCAGAGAGGGUGGCUAGACUCUUCAAAGUCAUGUCCCCAAUGCCCUGAAUAAUCAUAACCUUUGAGAGAGAUUCCAUUGAAGACAAAUAGAACUCAUCUUUCUUCUUCUUUUCAACAAGCUCCUCUUCAUCCAUCUCCCCCUCCUCAAGCUCCUCUUCAUCAUUCUUCCUUUUCUCAUAUUUCUCCUUAACAACAAGCUCGUCCUCCUUUUUCUUCCCAUCAGUCUCCUCAUCCUUCUCAUCAAGUUUCAGCUCAUCCUUUUUCAAAGUUCUUAUGAAUAAACUCAUAUUGCUCUCCAUACAUAAUUUUUUUUAACUUCAUCUUCAUCUUCUGUCUAUCGAAACAAUCACAUUCUUCAUAUGAAAAAUCAAAAACAAAAACAAAAACAAAGACAAAAACAAAAAAAAGGUCAAAAAAUCACGUAAAUCGAAAGGAAAUGAAAAAUAAUUAUACCCCUAAGCUUUUUGCAUCAUUCGAAGCUCUUUUAAAAUGGUGCUUGAUGAUGGAAAAUACAACAACGAGAGAAGCUCUCUUAGCCAUUACAACUGAGUGUGUAUGAUGAAAAGACUAGAGCGAGAGAAGAAAUGAUGGGACAAACUUAUAUGUAUAGGCUAGUAUAUAUUACCCUACAUAGACACAACAUAGCACUUUUACCCUAACACAUGUUAUUUUGAGGAUGGUUACAUUUUUUACAUUGGAUAAUGUCAGGGAUAUCUGACCACAUAUCCCACAUCGACAUAGAGUCCACACUUGUGACCUUUAGAGGUGUUUUGAGAAGAUAGUUAAAAGUUGAUUUUUUUAUUUUUUAUUUAUUUUUUUGACUUUUUUUUAAAAAAAGAAGUGUAAAAAAUGUGAGAGGUGAUGUGACUCAAAAUGAAUUAAAGUGUUUUUUUUUUUUUUAAAAACAAUUUUACCCUUGACCCCAACCCAACAGCUUCGGCUAGCAUUUUCUCUGGCCAUUUUAAAGUCCGACGACCAAAUAGGCAGUCACUCCCUAGCUACCCUCCCCAUUGACCCCUCCUCUCUCUCUCUGAGUCUCACUCUCCUCUCUUGGAGCCGAAGUGUGAGGGGCUUGCAAGGUGGAAAUCACAACAUAACCCUAACCACCAACUCCGACAGUCAGAGGUGAGGUCGCUGAAGUAUUGAGGGUGCUGCAGUGUAAGGAUCGCAACAGUGGGGGAGAAUGGGAGCAGUGGGUUGUCGGAGAGUGAUGAUGGGGGCGAGGUUUGCAGUGGAAAGAGAGUGAGGGUGGGUGAGACGUACGAGGGAGAAAGGUGUGGGAGGAGAUUUACAGAGAUAAUCUGCGAUGGUGAGGUAUAGCUCAUAGUCUACUAAAAAAAAAGUAUAGCUCAUAGGUCUGCUAUACAUAUGUAUACACUAGUUAUGGGGUGUUGUGCGUUGCACGAUGACCUGUGCCCAUGGCAUUUGUAAGUAGUUCAUUAUUAUGAUUUUUUUUCUCCCAGCAAUAAGGUAUAAUAACAUUUUACAAAACUAAGGUGAAAAGAACACAAGUAUUAAACAUUCAACCCAAAAGGAAGAAAACAUGAUUGGCCAAGACACAUAUUGACAAACCGCAUAAACAUUACGAGAAAACAAAAUGAACCCCAGUCUAAAAUUAAAUAUACAUCUUAACAUUCCUCAAACUGAUAAACCUAAAAGCAACAUCAUCAGCAACAAACUCUUCAAUCAAGUGACCAUUUGUUUCUCUAUGCAUGAGAAAACCUUUUUUUAUUAGUAAACCAUUCCACUUGAACUGCGCACAAAAACCAAAAUAUGCGGAGCACUAAAGUCUAAUAGCAUAAAACAAAACAAAAUAAAUAAAUGAUUUAAAAAGAAUAAGCACAGCUUCUCAAUUACACCCCUAAAACAGAGCAGCAACACAAAACAAGAUUUUAAUUCAUGAUCUCCAAAUUAAUCUUAAUCCAAAAGGCCACUCUUACCUAAAUCAAAUCAAAUGUACCUCAUUAAGUGGCAAAUCCUUAUUGGUUAUUCUAUUAUAGUUUACAACCAAAAGGUUUGUCACUUAACAUUGAGAUACAAGUCAUCAACCCAAAAAAAUAAAAUAAAAAAUAAAAAAAAAUUAACUAUUAAGGAAAAAGGCAAAAUUCAGAAAAUUUGUAAGAAAAAAGAAAAGAAAACCACAUACAUAGUGCCCAAUACUAAAAUGACUCUAAAAUCCAAGUGCACAUAUGGCGCGAACAAAUCAACUUCAGUUGCUAUUAUCUCAUGCAAAAGAAAUGACAAAGUUGCAACAUUAUUGAUCUGCAAAAAUGCAUGGAUAAGCAUUUUAGAAGGUUGCUUCUAAUUGCAACAAUAUAGGUACAAAUGUGUCAGAUAGCAUUGCCAAAACAAUAAUCACAAAACCAACCAAAGGAACAUGUAUAAUCUAUCAAUCUAUCUAUACUAUUAUAAAGCGAAGGUUGUUGGUGGCGUUUACACAAACAUGUCCCAUAUUUUUAGAGUUUUUGUAAAAAUUAUUCAAAGCGGAGGACGGUCCUCGAACCCAUGACCAUGGGUUUAAUAAUGGGUCUUAUAACAUAUGUGAAGAAUAAAAAUGUAAAUACACUCUGGUGAGAUUGAAUAAAUAAUAUAUAUUAUUUGUUAUUAUUAACCAACAUGUGGAUAGACAAAUAAAAGGAGUAUUUGAAAUUGAAGAGCUAAUAGGAAGAUAAAUUUUCAGAAAAAUAUUUUUUUUUUGGAAGUGUAUAAAAUAAUAUGUAUGAGAAACCCCUGUCAAAGCUAUAAAUUGAAACAUGUCAGGUUUGAAAAGAAUGGGCAUGGUAGAGUCCUUAUAACAAAGCACAUUACAAAUAAAAAAAAAUAUAUAUAAACCAACAAAACAAUCCAUGGUGGCUCCAAACUACCCCAUGCAUGUAUAUAAAUAUUAUGCUCAAUGGAUAAUUCCAUCAACCCCAGAUCUAUGCACAUAAACAAGAAAAGAAUAAUCACAAAAAUUGUAAAAUAUUGAUUGAGAAAAAAAAGAUACAUGAAUAAGAAAAAGAAAAAUCACAUAUCUAUGCACUUUGAAAACACUUUUUCCUCACAUAGAUAAAUAAAAUUUGUAGUUUGAGCCAUAACUAAAACAUGUAACUUUAAAGAAAAUCAAAACUCAUUUACAAAGCCUCAUGGAUCUGAACUUCAUACCCAAGAUGCCAAAAGAACACAAUAUAUGCACACAUAAAGAACAUUUACGUAAAAGUAUUAGCAAAACUGAAUAUCAAGUGAAAAUAAGAAAAGGUAACUGGACAAUGAAUUUUAUUAUUUAUUUUUCUUGGCAGGAAAAACACCAAUUUCUACCUAGAAGGUUUGAAAAGGAAACUGUGUUCCUUAUCCCUACAAAAGAGAAUCUUACUUGGACUCUUCUGCUUAAAAUACUAAAAGGAAACUAUAAUAAUUAUGUUAAAUUUAAACAAAAUAGUGACUUGAACUAUGAAUUUAAUCAUCUGACCACGGUAGAAUAGACAUUUAACAUUGGUCUUACAAAAAAACAAGUUAAGACAUCUCAUUUUUCACCCGUAGAACAAACCUUCAACAUUGGUCUUACCAAAAAAACAAAAAAAAAAA